AGUGGCAGACGAGGUAGUAACACGUAGGAAUCUCCCCCAUAGUCAGGAAUAACCCGCCGAAAGGCGGACUAAUACUUGAUAUCUCGCAGGAGGAAAGAUUUAUCGCUAUGGGAAGAGCCUGCGCAGUAUCAGCUAGUUGGCAGUGUAAAAGACUACCAAGGCUAUGACGCUUAGGGGAGGAGAGAGCCUGACCCCCACCGAUGGGACUGAGACACGGCCCAUACACCUACGGGUGGCUGCAGUCGAGAAUCUUCCGCAAUGGGCGAAAGCCUGACGGAGCGAUGUCGCGUGAUGGAUGAAGAGCUUCGGUUUGUAAACAUCUUUUAUGCGGGAAGAACGUUGACGGUACCGCAUGAAUAAGGGGUUGCUAAACUCGUGCCAGCAGCAGCGGUAAUACGAGUACCCCGAGCAUUAUCCGGAAUUAUUGGGCGUAAAGGGUGAGUAGGCGGUGCAAUUAGUCGUGUGUUAAAUCCCAGAGCUUAACUUUGGAUUCGCACUCGAAACGGUUGCUCUAGAGAAUGUGAGAGGUGAAUGGAACUCAUAGUGUAGGGGUGAAAUCCGUUGAUAUUAUGGGGAACACCAAAUGCGAAGGCAAUUCACUGGCACAUUUCUGACGCUCAAUCACGAAAGCGUAGGUAGCGAAUGGGAUUAGAUACCCCAGUAGUCUACGCCCUAAACGAUGAUCUCUCGGUUUUCGGAGUAUCGACCCUCUGAGAGCCUAAGCUAACGCGAUAAGAGAUCCGCCUGGGAAGUACGGCCGCAAGGCUAAAACUCAAAGGAAUAGACGGGGACCUGCACAAGCGGUGGAGUAUGUGGCUUAAUUCGAUGCAACGCGAAGAACCUUACCUGGCCUUGACAUGCAUAUAGUAGAACCCUGAAAGGGGGACGAGGUAGCAAUACCAGUAUGCACAGGUGCUGCAUAGCUGUCGUCAGCUCGUGUCGUGAGAUGUUGGGUUAAGUCCCGCAACGAGCGCAACCCCUGUGUCCUGUUGCCACCCCUUAACUGGGAGCACUCUGGACAGACUGCCUCGCUUCAACGAGGAGGAAGGUGGGGAUGACGUCAAGUCAGUAUGGCCCUUACGGCCAGGGCUGCACACGUACUACAAUGCCCGGUACAGAGGGAAGCAAGACCGUCAGGUGGAGCAAAUCCCAGAAAACCGGGCCCAGUUCAGAUUGUCGUCUGCAACUCGACGGCAUGAAGCUGGAAUCGCUAGUAAUGGCGCAUCAGCUACGGCGCCGUGAAUACGUUCCCAGGCCUUGUACACACCGCCCGUCACAUCAUGAAAGCCGCUUGUACCCGAAGUCGCCCCUUAAAAGGUGCCGAAGGUAUGGGUGGUGAUUGGGAUG
rnacentral:rRNA from 1 species